rnacentral:rRNA from 1 species
GGUUAAGCGACUAAGCGUACACGGUGGAUGCCCUGGCAGUCAGAGGCGAUGAAGGGCGUGCUAAUCUGCGAUAAGCGCCGGUAAGGUGAUAUGAACCGUUAUAACCGGCGAUACCCGAAUGGGGAAACCCAGUGUGACUCGUCACACUAUCAUUAACUGAAUCCAUAGGUUAAUGAGGCGAACCGGGGGAACUGAAACAUCUAAGUACCCCGAGGAAAAGAAAUCAACCGAGAUUCCCCCAGUAGCGGCGAGCGAACGGGGAGGAGCCCAGAGCCUGAAUCAGCAUGUGUGUUAGUGGAAGCGUCUGGAAAGGCGCGCGAUACAGGGUGACAGCCCCGUACACAAAAGCGCAUGUGCUGUGAGCUCGAUGAGUAGGGCGGGACACGUGGUAUCCUGUCUGAAUAUGGGGGGACCAUCCUCCAAGGCUAAAUACUCCUGACUGACCGAUAGUGAACCAGUACCGUGAGGGAAAGGCGAAAAGAACCCCGGCGAGGGGAGUGAAAAAGAACCUGAAACCGUGUACGUACAAGCA